rnacentral:rRNA from 1 species
AUACGGAGGGUGCAAGCGUUGUUCGGAAUUACUGGGCGUAAAGCGCGUGCAGGUGGUUCGGCAAGUCGGGUGUGAAAUCCCCGGGCUCAACCCGGGAACUGCAUCCGAAACUUCCGAGCUAGAGUCCCGGAGAGGAAGGCAGAAUUCCCAAUGUAGGGGUGAAAUCCGUAGAUAUUGGGAGGAAUACCAGUUGCGAAGGCGGCCUUCUGGACGGUGACUGACGCUCAGGUCCGAAAGCGUGGGGAGCAAACAGGAUUAGAUACCCUAGUAGUCC